rnacentral:rRNA from 1 species
UGGGGAAUAUUGCGCAAUGGGCGAAAGCCUGACGCAGCGACGCCGCGUGAGGGAUGAAGGCCUUCGGGUUGUAAACCUCUUUCAGCAGGGACGAAUUCAGACGGUACCUGCAGAAGAAGCACCGGCCAACUACGUGCCAGCAGCCGCGGUAAUACGUAGGGUGCAAGCGUUGUCCGGAAUUAUUGGGCGUAAAGAGCUCGUAGGCGGUUUGUCGCGUCGGCUGUGAAACCUCGGGGCUCAACCCCGAGCCUGCAGUCGAUACGGGCAGACUAGAGUGCGGUAGGGGAGACUGGAAUUCCUGGUGUAGCGGUGAAAUGCGCAGAUAUCAGGAGGAACACCGGUGGCGAAGGCGGGUCUCUGGGCCGUAACUGACGCUGAGGAGCGAAAGCGUGGGGAGCAAACA